UACGUAGGUGACAAGCGUUGUCCGGAUUUACUGGGCGUAAAGAGCGCGCAGGCGGUCGUUCAAGUCGAGUGUGAAAGCCCCCGGCUCAACUGGGGAGGGUCACGCGAUACUGAUCGACUCGAAGGCAGGAGAGGGUAGUGGAAUUCCCGGUGUAGUGGUGAAAUGCGUAGAUAUCGAGAGGAAUACCAAAGGCGAAGGCAGGUCACUGGGCAGUUACUGACACUGAGGCACGAAGGCUAGGGGAGCAAACGGG
rnacentral:rRNA from 1 species